rnacentral:lncRNA from 1 species
UCGCAUAAUGCUAAAAUUUCAUUCAUAAAUGGAAAGCAAGGUUAUCUUGCAUCCACAAAAUGCUACAUAGUAUAAUUUUUAUGAAUAGGUUUUGAUACAACACCUGUGGGCACUCGUUUCCUAUGUUAGAUUCCCAGUUAUAAGAAUUGAUGGCACAUAUAUACCAGCAGCAAAAUAAUGGGCUAGUUUGAUUGUGAUUCAAAACCGAAAGACACCAAUCAACAAGCCAAGCAUAUACAAGCAAUCACCCCCAAUAAUCUUAGUAAAGCCGCUUCCUACACCCAUCCGCGCCACAGAAGCACGGCAUCUGCCUUAUAGUCCCAUCAGGAUCAAGUACACUAUCAAGCUCAUACCCGUAAUCAUAAGUAAGUUCCUAAAAAACAAGACAAAGAAAUUGCAGAAAUAUCAGAAUUAUGCCCAACACCAAUAGUAGUCCUUGUCCUAGUCCUCGAAGAUCAAUGCUCAAGUUUCUUGAUUCAGAAUUAUCAUUACAUGAGCUCAAUUUAGUAAGGAAACAUAUUUGACGUAAAGAUUAGAUAAAUCAAGCUUCCUUUGACCUGGUGUUUCCUAAUUAUAACCAAAUGCAAGCUGACAGCUCCAUGCAUGUUAUUUCCCUUUACAGCAAACUCUCAACUGAAAUUCACGACCAUAUACCAUCACGGUACAAAUGUGCAUAUAGUGGAUCCAUCCAUAGUAUUACACACUUAGGACUCGCUUCUUGGGUUUGAUGGCUUCAGAUUGGAUAUGCUUGACCAUGUAUUUUUUUCCAGUAUCACGUAUUAAUACUAUGUUUCCUUUAAAUAACUCUCUGUUUAAAUAGGUAAUUUAUUGUUUGGUUUGAUGUAUUUAUAGGAAAAAUUAUCUAAAAUAUCUUACACUACCAUUAUACUCUGAUUUUGUCUAAAUGGAAGUUUGCUAUGCACUAUCAAAGGGUAGAUAGAUACCUAUGAUUAUUUAAUAUAACAAAGCCUCUUGAAAGACACAUGCAUGUUUACUAGAGUUUUAAUUAGUAUGUACGGUUAGUAGUUUAGUCUAGUAAUUAGGUUUGUUUUUUUAUUAGUCUAUCUUCUAGAUAUGUAAUCAAACAUAAUGAUAGUGGAAGUCAUUCAAUAAUCAUAGGAAUCUAUCACCCUCCAAUUGUGCAUAUCAAACAUGNAAAAAAAUAAUUAUGAGUCUAUGACCAAAUAAAUAUAAUAAGGACCACCGGUAACUAACAUGAAUAUUGGAGAAAGAACCAAAUGGAAAGCAACUAAAAAGUGACCUGCAUUCCCUCAUUCGCAUAAUGCUAAAAUUUCAUUCAUAAAUGGAAAGCAAGGUUAUCUUGCAUCCACAAAAUGCUACAUAGUAUAAUUUUUAUGAAUAGAUUUUGAUACAACACCUGUGGGCACUCGUUUCCUAUGUUAGAUUCCCAGUUAUAAGAAUUGAUGGCACAUAUAUACCAGCAGCAAAAUAAUGGGCUAGUUUGAUUGUGAUUCAAAACCGAAAGACACCAAUCAACAAGCCAAGCAUAU